AUAUUUUAAUCUUUAAUUUAGAACAAUUUUAAUUAAAUAUCAUUUUUUUUAUUUCUUUAAACUUUCGAAAAUUAAUAUGAUAAAAAAUUUUUGAAUAUAUUUGAUUUUAAUCUUGAUAAAGAUACAAAAUCUUAAGAAUAAUUAAAGUGCGAUUAAGAACAAAUAAAUGUAUCGUAAAAAAGAUUAUAAAACUAGAUUGAGUCGUUGGCGCAAUCGCAAAUUAGAAAUAUCGCGAGGCGCCACUGCACUCUGAUUUUAACCUUUCCCUUCCCUCGAAUAGGAGUAGCUUUCAGUAUUGAAAACGCUAUCGAAGCGCGCUGUUCUCGAAGGUGUUUCAUUAUGUUUUCAAUGAUCGUAAAAAAUUAGUUGAAUUAAUAAAUUUUUUAUAUAUUUUUCAUUUUAUAUUAUUUUUUAAAUAAGUAUAAGAAUAUUGAAUAUUACUUCUUUUUCUAUGAAUAAAUCCUAUUUGUUAUAUGAAGAUAACAAGUUUUUUUGAAAUAAAAUUUAUUUCUUCAUUGAAUAUGUGCAAUUUUAUUUUUUGAUUUUUAUUUUUUUCUUUUUUGUUGAUCGAGAUUUCUAUUACUUCAAUGAUAAAGAUUGAACGAAAUCAUAUAUAAAAUUGUAAUAUAAAAUUGUAAUAUAAAAUUGCAUAAAAUUACAAUUACAAUUAUUAUCUCGCGACGGAAUUAAAACAUUUAUGAUUUAUGUGAGUGAAAAUUUAUUUCAUUUAUAUUAUUUGUAAAAAGUUAAAAUAUCAUUCACAUGACUAUCUCGAAGAAAUUAUUCAGGAGGUGGAGAACGAAAAAUUAUAAUGAUCAAGAGAUGAUCGAGAGAUCAUCGAUAAUUUUUGAAGAUUUGUUAAAAUUUGAAAGAAACGAAAAGGGCAACGAAUGAAGAUGAAAGAAUUUCAUACGUAAAAAAAUGGCACCAUUCCAUGGCAUGGCCCUUAUAUUGCUUGGAAUCGGAUACCUGUUACACGCAGAACCGCCAUCCGGUCAUCGGACUUUAGCGGUGCAACGAUUCGAUGGAGAAAAAACCGAUAAAGGCGAACGGUCGCAACGAGGUGCGAAGAAGACAUAUUUUUAUAAAGAUUCGCCCCAAAAAGUGACCGCCGUUGUGGGACAAACUGUUGUGCUGUUGUGUCGUGUUAAGAAUCUGGGGAAUAGAACAGUGUCUUGGAUUCGAAAAAGCGACUUACACAUCUUAACGUCCAUGUCGGUGACUUAUACGAGCGACGCAAGAUUUAAGAUAAUCGGCAAUCCGGAGCAUGACGACUGGAAUCUGCGAAUAGAUUACGUUCAACCACGGGACGAUGGCAUUUACGAGUGUCAAGUUAAUGCAGAGCCCAAGAUAUAUAGGGCGAUUACUUUGAAAGUUUUGGAUGUGCAGGCAAAGAUCACGGAGCCCAAGGAAGUGUAUGUGAAAAAGGGAAGCACGAUCAGUUUGACAUGUAUCGUGGACGUGCAAGAUAUUUCUCCGAGCAACGUGACUUGGUACCAUGCCGGUGCGAUGAUCGAUUUCGACGAUCCAAGGGGUGGCGUUUCCCUGGAAACGGAGAAAGGUAAGAACGGGACCACUAGCAAGCUGCUAAUAACGCGCGCCCAACAUGACGACAGUGGUAAUUACACGUGCGUGUCGAGCAAGGUCGCUGCGAAUGUAAUGGUACACGUGUUGAACGGUGAACAUCCUGCAGCUAUGCAACACGGUGGAACCGGGAACAUCAACAGGAGGGCGAUUUUGUUCAGCCUGGUUCUCCUAAUGGACACGAUAUUUCGGUGAACGAAAACGGACGAAUUUCUUCAUUGUCCAUGCCUGUUCCCGUCAAAAAUCGUCGUCACCCGAUCGAUAUCGACGAAUCAAUGACGCGCAUCAGAGAAGGGGAAGAGAGAGAGAGAGAGAGAGAGAGAGAGAGAGAGAGAGAGAAGGGACGUUUUCCGAUAUCCAAUAAAGCCGAACUUCGACCUCGGCGAAUGUUUCGCUUGGAUACGAUUUAAAACGGCAUACCAUGCAGAAACGCUGCCUGCCAGUAAACAGGUAACUUGCGAGAUGACGUGCAAUUUGUUUUUCUUUCUAUCGUAGGAAUUAUUAACGCGAGAUACGAAUGCGUUAGGUGAUUUUCGAUUUAAUGGCCGUGCGAAGAUGGAAGAAGGAAA
rnacentral:misc_RNA from 1 species